rnacentral:rRNA from 1 species
CCCUUAGAUGUUCUGGACCGCACGCGCGCUACACUGAUGCAUUCAACGAGUCUAAAACCUGCUCUGAUAGGGGUGGGUAAUCUUUUGAAUGUGCAUCGUGAUUGGGAUAGAUGAUUGCAAUUUUUCAUCUUCAGCGAGGAAUGCCUAGUAAACGCAAGUCAUCAGCUUGCAUUGAUUACGUCCCUGCCCUUUGUACACACCGCCCGUCGCUCCUACCGAUUGAAUGAUCCGAUGAAUAUCAUGGAUUGAGGAUGCAAGCAGGUUCGCCUGUCUUCAUCUUCGAGAAGUGAAGUAAAUCUUAUCAUUUAGAGGAAGGAGAAGUCGUAACA